GCAUAUUGAUUAUAUUUAAUAAAGCGUGUAUUAUUGUUAUUGUCGGUGAGAUAAGAGCAAUUAGUCACACGAUUUAUGAAACCAAAAGAUUAUAAUAGCCGCAAUUUACGAUCAGCUGUUUAGCCGGAACGGUAUUUGAUAAAUAACCUCUGUCCUUACAUUUUGUAAUUUGUUUGGUAAACGGCAGCUGUAAAUUUAAUGACCGCAUUCGUUUUUAAUGUGCAUUAUUUAAUGGGUAAACAACAAGUGUUGCCCCAAGCUGGUGAUAAGCUCGUGACAAAUAUCGUGUAACAAAAACACGAAAAAAUAGAUGUAACAAAGAUAUGCUCGUAAAAUAAGCGCAUUAUCAAAGCUGAAAGUGUUAAUGGAGAUAAGGUGACUUUCUAUUUUGUUUUGCAAAAACACUGCCAAUUAUCACAUACUAAGAAGAGAGCAGCACACGCCAUUGGCCGCAGCCUGGGAAGAUUCCCAUGACAAGUGUUGAUAAAUGUCUAAUGUUCAUCAGUUGAAGCGGCGCUUGAAAUGGCACACAGAUUGAUAUUAUAGUUGCUUAUGCAAUAAUUGGUGUAUAAAGUAUAGCUCAUAUCAAUAAUUUGCAUUGUAUAAUCAGCUGUAGAACAGUGGGCGCGUCUCUCCCAUGUGGGCAUUGAAUGUGCUGGCUUAUCAGCUCGGCAAAGCGCUUAAAUAACUCAAAGCAAGACGACGCCUAUCAAAAAGCCGAAUUUUAAUACCGCUUUGUUGCCAAACUAGACGCUAGGGGAGGGGGUUCGGCGGCGUUGGGUGCUGCGUGCAACAUAACCUCUGUGCAUUAGCUGCAUUCACAAAUUGGGCUUGUCUAAUAACAACUGCAGUGAAAUCACGACCAACUGGUGCAUGUUUUAGGUUUACGCAAUGCCAGGGAACACUUUGGUGCAGACAUUCGUCUAGGCCAAAAUUUAACAAAUUACAUAACACCGCCGCAGACUCGCGAGGUCUGCGUUUUGUUCGCACUUCUUUUCGCCUGCGCCGACAAUGUCGCCAACGCAAACUUUAUGUGGAUUUGGUUAGUUGUCCACGUAAAUGCGCAGCAUUCUUGAUUGUGUAAUUGAAUUGUAGUGCG